GGCUCUGUGGAUUAGUUGGUCAAAGUGCCUGUCUAGUAAACAGGAGAUCCUGGAUUCAAAUCCCGGCAGUGCCU
rfam:Gasterosteus aculeatus cont1.005124, whole genome shotgun sequence.